rnacentral:rRNA from 1 species
CCUACGGGUGGCAGCAGUGAGGAAUAUUGGUCAAUGGGCGCGAGCCUGAACCAGCCAAGUCGCGUGAGGGAAGACGGUCCUAUGGAUUGUAAACCUCUUUUGUCGGGGAGCAAAAGACUCCACGCGUGGCGUUCUGAGAGUACCCGAAGAAAAAGCAUCGGCUAACUCCGUGCCAGCAGCCGCGGUAAUACGGAGGAUGCGAGCGUUAUCCGGAUUUAUUGGGUUUAAAGGGUGCGUAGGCGGAAGGUUAAGUCAGCGGUAAAAUGUCGGUGCUCAACACCGGCCUGCCGUUGAAACUGGUGUUCUUGAGUGAGCGAGAAGUAUGCGGAAUGCGUGGUGUAGCGGUGAAAUGCAUAGAUAUCACGCAGAACUCCGAUUGCGAAGGCAGCAUGCCGGCGCUCAACUGACGCUGAGGCACGAAAGCGUGGGGAUCGAACAGGAUUAGAUACCCGUGUAGUC